UUGUGAGGGUUAUCAGGGAACAAAGGAACUCAGUCAUCUUUAAGCAAGGGAAAUCGGAUGCAGAAGAUAUUUUUCUUUUAACACAACUGACAGCUUCGUUUUGGUUGAAACACAGGGUACAGUCAUUCAUAUACUCGUUCUCAGAUUGGCAUCUGAAUCCGGAUUAAUAUAUUAAAAGCUAUAAAUAACUUAGUAUGGUUGUAACAUGCUGGAAUUGGGCUCAUGGGGGGCUGCCGGUAUUGAAUCCCUGUCCAGGUUCUUGGUUUAAAUAGUCGUCCACACUCUCAAGAUGCAGGACUUUCUGGUGCACUAUUCAGGGGAUUUGCUUUGGACGUCUUCCUGUACAAUUCUUUGCAUUUAGAAGUGCAUGUAAUCUGUGUUUUCUGAUGCUUUUAAGCAGGUUUUCACGCCAAGUCUGUUCUGUUUUUGGAGCUUUCUUCAAUGGAUGCUGGUUCGUCUUUUUCCUGGUCUUUGGUGCUUUUUUCUCAUAGCUGUAGCAGGCUUACAUCAUUCUCAGGAUGCCAUCUACUGUUCCUUGUGACUUUGUAAUUUGCUUGUGCUGCUGGUUUUUCUUUCUGUUAUAGGCUGUUUUGCAUAUUAAUAUCUCUUUUCAGCAGUACCCUGUAGCAGUUUUUGUAUCCCUUCCUCUAUGGGGGGUAUAGGGUGUUGUCAUAUUGGAUCUAGGCAUGCCUUGGUUGUUAAAAUUGAAGUUUUAAGACUCCAACAGCCUGUCUUUUGUGUUCUGAUGCAGGAGGAAUGUGUUUUCUGUUUUAUUGGAAAACUUGGAAGACUCAUUAUGAUGCAAAGGUUUUUGCAGCUUUGGAGGGAAUGGCAAGAAUUGGUCAAUCUGUGUUUUGCUGUUGUUGGUGUUUUAGUUUAAAGAAGUUGUUGUUUUGAGAAUAUGUUCUUCUUGGCUUACCACCUAAAAUAGAUUGUUUUGUAAACGGAUUGACAUAUUUCUCAAGUAUUU
rnacentral:lncRNA from 1 species